AUUGCUUCUCAGCCUUUUUGUAAAAGAUCAAAUGUAGUAUCUGUUUUUAUCAGUUUAAUAUGUGAUAUCCUCUAUCCAAGGACAAUAUAAAUUAAAUGGAUUUUUGAAAGUAGGAGUUGGAAUAGGAGAUUGCUCUGUCCCCAUCCACUCCAUGCAUCUACCUGAUAUUGCAGUAUCUCCAGGGAUGGUCAGAAACAA